AUUGAACGCUGGCGGCAUGCUUUACACAUGCAAGUCGAACGGUAACAGGCCGCAAGGUGCUGACGAGUGGCGAACGGGUGAGUAAUGCAUCGGAACGUGCCCAGUCGUGGGGGAUAACGCAGCGAAAGCUGCGCUAAUACCGCAUACGUUCUAUGGAUGAAAGCGGGGGACCGUAAGGCCUCGCGCGAUUGGAGCGGCCGAUGUCAGAUUAGGUAGUUGGGGGGGUAAAGGCUCACCAAGACGACGAUCUGUAGCUGGUCUGAGAGGACGACCAGCCACACUGGGAGUGAGACACGGCCCAGACUCCGACGGGAGGCAGCAGUGGGGAAUUUUGGACAAUGGGCGCAAGCCUGAUCCAGCAAUGCCGCGUGCAGGAAGAAGGCCUUCGGGUUGUAAACUGCUUUUGUACGGAACGAAACGGUCUGGAUUAAUACCCUGGGCUAAUGACGGUACCGUAAGAAUAAGCACCGGCUAACUACGUGCCAGCAGCCGCCGUAAGAC
rnacentral:rRNA from 1 species